ensembl:misc_RNA Metazoa_SRP Metazoan signal recognition particle RNA
GCCGGGCGCGGUGGCGCGCGCCUGUAGUCCCAGCUACUCGGGAGGCUGAGGUGGGAGGAUCGCUUGAGUCCAGGAGUUCUGGGCUGCAGUGCGCUAUGCCGAUCGGGUGUCCGCACUAAGUUCGGCAUCAAUAUGGUGACCUCCCGGGAGCGGGGGACCACCAGGUUGCCUAAGGAGGGGUGAACCGGCCCAGGUCGGAAACGGAGCAGGUCAAAACUCCCGUGCUGAUCAGUAGUGGGAUCGCGCCUGUGAAUAGCCACUGUACUCCAGCCUGGGCAAUAUAGUGAGACCCCUUCUCU